GGAAACUAGGACCUGUUUGGAAUGACUUUUGAAAAGUCAAAUGGCUUUAGAGACAAAGAAGAUGCUUUUAGACCUAAUUGAAUGAUUUCAUGACUGCUUUGUUUCAUUAGAAUAGCUGAUUCAAGGUAACUUCCAUAAGAAACUUUCCUACAUGAAGCAAAAGCAAGAGCUAUCUCAAUAAGCCCAUAAAAAUAAGUAGAAGGUAAUAUGUACUGCGAAAUAGAGAAAAAGUAGACUCCCAUUCAAAUAAGACUUCAGUAUGGUGAUCGAUGAAGAUUAGAAAGAAUAUCUCACUCAAGUACAGAAUUGAAAUUCAACAAGCACAAGCAUAACUUCAAUCACAUGAAUCUGACAAAAUUCAGUGUUUAUACAGAUACUAGAAUGUGAUCUAACACGAUAACAAGACCUAAUCCUCGCCCAAAAAUCCUAUUGAAAGGCAUCAUCUUUUCUUGAAUCCAUAUUUCUUUCGUUCAUAGAACAAAUCAGUUUUGGCACUUCCCAAAUUGACGAUUUUGGGACAUCCGUCCCGGUCUUUUUCCUGCUGAGUACAUUCUUUGCAUCUAAUUUUGUAGACAGAUGCAACCAAGAAACUAAAAAUAAUUACAUGCAAUUAAAAGGGACAGCUCAACAGUAAAAAAUAACAUGCAAAAAAUAAGAGAAGAAUCUUUAAAGAAAAAUAUAGAUAAAAGCACUUAAAAGCUUAUUUGGACUUCUGUUCUUAGUUCCAAAGUAACGAUCCAAUAUGAAUUUUGUCCCCUAAAUAGAAAUUUUGGUAACACCUAUUUGAUGUCCCUUAAAAUUUAUUUAAGGUGCUAUUUCUAUUUAUCAUGAUAUUUGUACUUCUCUAAUAAUUGAUCAUGAAAAGAAGACCUCCUGAAAUUGGAAGCUGUCUAAAGUUAGCAUGUUUGGUGCCUUUCAUCUUGCAAGCUAGAAAAUGAGGUUACCGGAAAAUUAUUGUGGUACUUUCUCCAUCAAAUUAAACCUUCAGGUUUGUACGGUGCCAAUCAUGUAAAAUUCGAGAUCUUACCAAAUGAAAAGAUGACUGCAAUAAUUCAGCGUCUUCUCAUCCUGUCUUCUCUGUAAAAGAGAAUAAAUUACUUGUUUUCAUUUUAGUUGUCGUCAACCCAACCUAUAUUAGCAUCACCUAAAUAGUUGUAAAGUAACACAAGCUUCCAUUCCAUUUGAUGACACGGAACUACUGGGAGUUGGGAUCGGAUUACUUCAAAAACACUUUGAAUUGAAGGAAACUACUUUUAAUUUCAAUUCCAAAACCCCAAGCCCAUGCUCCAAGAACUCAAAACUUCAAUAAAAUCUAUUAAGCAAAACACAAAUUCAUAGCCUUGAGAUUCAUGUUAAUACAUCCUCAACAAGUCUAUUACCAGCAACAUAUAGUUUCACUCAUUAUGUACCCAAUAUCAGGGGCGGAACCACCUGGGGUCUGGUGGGCCAACGGGAUUUUGGUCCUGGAUUUCACCUAUUAUACUUGAGGGGCGGCCAGGCAAGGAGAAAAUCAUAAACAACCGCAUCAAAAAUUCAAGAGAAAUGUUGACUUAGAUAACCAUCAGGAAACAACAAUUUUGGAAAAAUAAAUAAAUAAUAAGGAGUUGAGCUGAAAUUAAAUCAUUCACAACAAUCAGAUCAAAAGCGAUUUCAACAAAACUAAUAAACUCCAAUAUUACCUUCCAAUUUCUUUGAUGAAGAAGAUGAGUAGAAACCAGUGCAAUGGCUCCCAGUUUGCCUCUCCCCCAAUUUUUAGCGCAAUACAGAAAAAGAAAACCUUAACCACUUGUCCCCUUUGCUCUUGAUUAAGAAUUAAACAGGCCUGAGAUAGUUGGAUAUGUCUGGCUUUUAAUUGGGCUUUACAAGAUUUAUUCCCAUUGUAAUCC
rnacentral:lncRNA from 1 species